rnacentral:rRNA from 1 species
AUGUUCGCAUGGAUCUGGAGCUUUGCCCGUAAGCUAAUGGUGGACAAAAUUUUAGUAGUGAAAGAAACAAACCAGUGUCAUCCAUAUCCUCAAAUUCCAUAUGAAUCAAAAAGUGAUAAAAAUCCUCGAGAACAAGCCAUAUAUUUAGCAUCGAUCAGUGAGCAGCAUCAUAGAAGUGUUAUUGAAGAACUCGGUGAAAAGAUGGCGCGUCCGCUACAUGACCCUCGAUGGCGCGUCCGCUACGCGACGGAUCUGGAGACCGUCCGCACCGUCGCCUUCCACGACGGCGAGCUCCUUCUUCAAAGGGACGCUCUCCGCCUUGUUCUCUACAACGACACGGGCACGGUGCUGGACGCCCGGGCCAUUCGCGAGCACGAGUUCGUUGACAUCAGGCACAUCGUCGCUUUCCACUGCUUCUUCGCUAGGGUGCGCGACAGGAUCCCGAACCCCACGGCGUCCCCGCAUCGUGUUGGCAACGAGCACGAACGGCGCGACGUGACAGCUCUCAAGGCGACCCGGGCGGUACACGAUGCGGGGGUGCGACACGGUGUUCCACCUGAUCCGCCAUGGGUGGAACCCGUGGUUGGGGACGCCGCUGCAAUGGCGGCAGCCAUACAUGUGGACGGCGAUCAAGCACCUCCAGCAAGUCACGGGCAUCUGGGCGUGGGUACAAAAGCCAAACCCCAUUCCCCCCUCGACCUAGAUGCUGAUUUCUCCCACUUCUGGACGGUGCUGAGAAACCCUAGAUCCAAUCCACCUGCCUCCUUCUCCUAG